AAGAGUACAGUAGGUCAAAGAUGUUCAUCACUGACUCGCGAUUGGUCGAGGAUGUGUAUCGGGAAGGGACUUUGAUCCCGCGGCUCCAAAGUACCACCAUCACGACUAAGAUGUCAGCCGCCCCUUAUGUCCAGUCUGCCUGCCUGCCCAGUGAGGGGUUGGGGAAGCACUCCAACCUUCUCUGUACUCGAUUGCUUUGACCUGAACUGUUCAUGCGGCUCGGCUAUUGCCAUCAACCUGUAUCUAUUUUGAUUUUGUCAUAAACAUAAAAUUAUGUCCUGGACACGGAGAGUGUUUGGCCCCGAUCAAGGAGCUGGAAGAGAGUCACGGUUUGAACAGCCUGACUGAAAGCCAUUGCUGUCAUCCUGACGCACACAAGUCUCUGAAGUUGGGCUUAUCGUGAUUGAGACAGUUCUCUUGCUU